GGCCCCAUCGUCUAACGGUUAGGACAUCAGGUUCUCAAUCUGAUAAUUAGAGUUCGAUUCUCUAUGGGGUCACCA
rnacentral:tRNA from 1 species